rnacentral:rRNA from 1 species
AGCAGCCGCGGUAAUUCCAGCUCCAAUAGCGUAUAUUAAAGUUGUUGCAGUUAAAAAGCUCGUAGUUGAAUUUCGGGACCAAUAUGUCGGUCGUGCCUCGGUACGUACUGGCGUUAUUGGUUUCUCCCUUCUGAAGAACCUCGAUGUCAUUAAUUUGGUGUCGUGGGGAAUCAGGACUGUUACUUUGAAAAAAUUAGAGUAGUUUAAAGCAGGCUCGCGCUUGAAUACAUUAGCAUGGAAUAAUGAAAUAGGACGUUUAAUUCUAUUUUGUUGGUUUCUAGGAUUGACGUAAUGAUUAAUAGGGAUAGUUGGGGGCAUUAGUAUUCAAUUGUCAGAGGUGAAAUUCUUGGAUUUAUUGAAGACUAACUACUGCGAAAGCAUUUGCCAAAGAUGUUUUCAUUAAUCAAGAACGAAAGUUAGGGGAUCGAAGACGAUCAGAUACCGUCGUAGUCUUAACCAUAAACUAUAGCCGACUAGGGAUCGGAUGAUGUUAAUUUUUAAUGACUCAUUCGGCGCCUUA